AUAACGACAAUGCAGAGGAAUAGUAAUAAUUCCCUACAGGUAAAGAGAGACAGUGGUUGGUGAAAACUGUACCUGAAUAAUUAUGAACUCGCCUUGAACGUUGCAGAAGUGAUAUGUAGUUUCUGCCGAUUUAUCCACGUUAUGGAUUAGGAGAGAAUGCAUGUAGUUGCAUUAAGCUGGGUGGUACCGCGGGAAUAAUAGCUUCUCGUCCCUUUA
rnacentral:ncRNA from 1 species